rnacentral:rRNA from 1 species
GAUGAACGCUAGCGGCAGGCCUAAUACAUGCAAGUCAAGGGGAUAGCAAUAUCACCGGCGGACGGGUGCGUAACGCGUACACAACGUGCCCAAGGGCGGAGGAAAGCGGCGGGAAACUGCCGGUAAUACUCCAUGGUGUUGUUGAGUGGCAUCACUUAACACUAAAGUACAAGCGCCCUUGGAUCGGUGUGCGUUCGAUUAGCUAGUUGGCGGGGUAACGGCCCACCAAGGCUUCGAUCGAUAGGGGGUGUGAGAGCAUGACCCCCCACACGGGUACUGAGACACGGACCCGACUCCUACGGGAGGCAGCAGUAAGGAAUAUUGGACAAUGGGCGGAAGCCUGAUCCAGCCAUGCCGCGUGAAGGACGAAGGCGCUCAGCGUUGUAAACUUCUUUUGGAUGGGAACAAUAACUCCGACUUGUCGGAACUUGAGGGUACCAUCAGAAUAAGCACCGGCUAACUCCGUG